rnacentral:rRNA from 1 species
AGCAGCCGCGGUAAUUCCAGCUCCAAUAGCGUAUAUUAAAGUUGUUGCAGUUAAAAAGCUCGUAGUUGAAUUUCGGGGUCUGUCCGUCGGUCGGGCUUUACGGUCCGUACUGGUGUGAUGGGUUCCUACCUUCUGAAUAACCGGCAUGCCAUUCAGUUGGUGCGCCGGGGAAGCAGAGCUAUUACCUUGAAAAAAUUAGAGUGCUUAAAGCAGGCUAGUGCUUGAAUAGAUUAGCAUGGAAUAAUAAAAUAGGACGGCAUGGUUCUAUUUUGUUGGUUUCUAGGAUCACCGUAAUGAUUAAUAGGGAUAGUUGGGGGCAUUAGUAUUCAAUUGUCAGAGGUGAAAUUCUUGGAUUUAUUGAAGACUAACUUCUGCGAAAGCAUUUGCCAAGGAUGUUUUCAUUAAUCAAGAACGAAAGUUAGGGGAUCGAAGACGAUCAGAUACCGUCGUAGUCUUAACCAUAAACUAUGCCGACUAGGGAUCGGACGAUGUUAAAUUUUUUUAACGACUACGUUCGGUC